UCCAUAUUCAUAUUACCGCGUGUAUUCAACAAUCAUUGUCAAUAUUUUGCAUCUGCCGCAUGUAUUCAACAAUCAUUGUCAAUAUUUUGCUGGUUUUUGACAUAAGUAUCACACCAUAGUCAAUUUCAAACACAACCCAUCAGAGGAUGAAAUGGAUUGAUAAAGAUUUUGGAGUGUUGUGGUGUCUGAACAGAUUCACAUAGUCCACAUGAACAAACCAAACUGAGAACACUAAUUCCCCACAUCACUCUCCCUAUAUUAAGUCUUAACAACAGAGAACAAUGAAAGAAGAUAAUGGUGGUGGCAUGUGAAACAUGAAGAGGAGUGUAGUAUGCAUCUUCAAUGGCAUCAUUAUAUCAUAGUGCCUUUUCAUUUUCACCUACAAAACUUUUUCCUAUCAUCUUUAAGCCAUCUUUCAGAUGCUCCACCAUUACUACUAAUUCCACACCACCCUACAAUUCCCUUGUUUUUGAGCCACUUUUUGAAGGUAAAUUCAAAUCUGAAAGGAAGGGUAUCAAAGAAUGGGAGGAAGUUAUAUGGUUGGCAGUAUGUUGGUGCAUACGGAGAUCAAGAACUGGGAUUUUAUCUAAUGAUGCAGUCAGCAGGUGACUCCGAAGAAAUUGUCUUUAAAGUCAGGAUGUUCUCUUGGUCGUGGCUUGUUAUAGACUCUAAAAAAAGAGAGGCUAAAAUGUAAUUUAUAUGAGUGGUAAAGAUCCACUUGAUUACCUUAAACUGGUUUGGUUUAUUAUUUGUGGUA